rnacentral:rRNA from 1 species
GUGCCAGCCGCCGCGGUAAUACGGGGGGGGCAAGCGUUGUUCGGAAUUACUGGGCGUAAAGGGCGUGUAGGCGGCCAGCUAAGUCAGACGUGAAAUCCCUCGGCUCAACCGAGGAACUGCGUCUGAUACUGAUUGGCUUGAAUCCGGGAGAGGGAUGCGGAAUUCCAGGUGUAGCGGUGAAAUGCGUAGAUAUCUGGAGGAACACCGGUGGCGAAGGCGGCAUCCUGGACCGGUAUUGACGCUUAAGCGCGAAAGCCAGGGGAGCAAACGGGAUUAGAAACCCUUGUAGUCC